rnacentral:rRNA from 1 species
UACAGAGGUCUCAAGCGUUUGUUCGGAUUCAUUGGGCGUAAAGGGUGCGUAGGCGGCGCGGUAAGUCGGGUGUGAAAUCUUGGAGCUUAACUCCGAAACUGCAUUCGAUACUGCCGUGAUUGAGGACUGGAGAGGAGACUGGAAUUUACGGUGUAGCGGUGAAAUGCGUAGAUAUCGUAAGGAAGACCAGUGGCGAAGGCGGGGUCUC